CGAUUGCGUGGUCGAUUGGU
rnacentral:siRNA from 1 species